UUUCCAGUUCCCUAAAUGAUCCAUUCAAGGACUCUCUUUUCCUGCUUUAAUUAGUUUUCACCUGGCAGCUGCUGUCCAUACUGCUCAGCCUUCAGUUUACCUCUCUACUGGCGCAUGAGUUAGUUCAUAAUCUAAAACCCAUCAGAAGCCACAAGGAAAACAACUUGGGAAGGAGCGCUGAGGUGGAUCCUUCUGUAGAGCAGAUCAUCUUUUCUCUCAUUGAUCCCAGCCUGCUAAGAGGAACCUUGGGGGCAGCCAGUCACACUGCAAUGUGGACAGGCGGAGGUCUGGCGGGCUUGCUCAUCUGCUUGGACUGCCUAGGCAUUUUGCUGGUGACCACAUGGUGAACAGAAUUGUCACACCCCUGCAAAACUAACAGAUUAAUGAGGA